CUGCAUGGUUCUUUAUUUUGGGUAGGUUCAUACAAUAAUAAGAGAAGCUUUUAGGGCUGCUUCUACGACAUUUUCACGGCCGUACAAGAACUAUUCACCUGAAAAAGAGAAAUCAUGCAAGCGCUAUUGUAGGAGACGGAUCACCAUAUAAGAAAAAAAUUGCUCCUGUUCUAUUCGAGUUUAUUAAAAUACGGACCCGUUAUAAUUAGUAGGGAGAGCUUUUGGGCCUUUUUCCAACUUAGAAAUAGCUUCUAAAUACAUUCAUUAUUGAAACCCUUUUAAACCCAUUAACCCUGGUUCUUGCUGCAAUCCUUUUACUUUGGACCAAAUGGACCAAACAGACGAGUUGGUGCCAGCAUGGAAAACUAAAUCCCGAGCAGAACCCUAAAACAUUUAAUAAAUAUUAUCCUUAUUCCACGUAGCUUUUUAAACGUCUGUCUAUGUCGGUUUUGCUAAUUCUCACACUGGACGGCCAGUCGUCAAACCACUAAUACUAAUGAAGGAUGAUUCAGUCAUUACAUGUUCGGAAUGAAACAUCAACGGAGGAGGCGAAGAGAAGCAUUCUCUGCCUGAGGGAAUCUCGCAGCCUUACAUAAUUGCUCAUAUCUUUUAAUUUACACUUACCAAAUACUUUAAUACUAAACUGAGAUUUAAAUACCUAUCUAAUGAACCAUCAUCCAAAUAUUAAAAUAUCCUGGCUCAGCUCUAGAAAAUAAAAGCGUGUGUAUGACUUAUACAUGAUCUGUUUAACCAUGAUUAAAUUCAGUUCCUAUUCAUAUUAAGUAACGUCGUAAUGUGUUUUUCCAAAUGCAUGAUACAAAGUUGCCUUUCAAUUGGCUUCCACUCCGAUGACCAUAUCAGCAGAAUCAGCAUGCAUGUCGACAACCACUGGUGCAUCAACAUCAGCUUGUAUUUCUACAACCACUGGAGCAUCAACAACCACUGGAGCCCUUUUUAAUUUUUUUCUCAAAUUUGAAAUAGUAGAAACAUUUAUUGCUGCUUAUGAUAAUAAUACCUCGCCCGAAUAUACAGAGCUUGAGGACAGAAUUGAGACAAGGUUCAACACGAUCUACAGUGCACAAUUUGGCGACCGGUUCAUUCGGACAAUUAUCAUCAGAUUUAGGAUCUCUGUGGCUCAAUCGAACAAUACUGAAGCAGAAAUAGAGCUUGAGUUUCAGCCAACUGCUUCUCCACAAGCAAUCCCACAGUCUGAGGAGGUUCGAAGUACCUUGGUCACAGGACUGAACAGCACAAACACAACCUCUAACCUCCCUGUAGAUACUGCAAGCAUUACGAUCACAAGUAGGUUAUCACUUUGCAGGAUCUUUCAUAACAUCGCUAGCCUACAAUUUGGAAUAACAGCAACACCAGUUAAUAGUUUAUUGUAACAUUUACAGGCUUCAUUAAAUAUCCUUUAUUUUGGUGUUACUUGCUUGAUAGGACUGUGAGGGGAAAUAAAAAGUAGCCAUUCUUUAACUUUUGUUAAAGACUGCAAGUUAAUAAGCGAUAAACUUUAGUAAAUACACACUUCUUUGAAACCUCUGGAAGCCGUGUUGUUGUUUCUGAGGCAAAUUCCAUGUCAUCUACAUUGUAGUAGUACCAAACAAAAUGUCAGAUAAAGGUGCUUUAAGUAAUAUGUAAUAGCUAUUUUAAGAGUGUAACUUCUUUUGACACGGCUUUGCCACUUGUCAGCUAUUAGUGAGUGCAAUGGGCUGUGAGAUUAUAAUUUCUGACCCAUUUGGGAAUCUCAUAGGCAGAAAUGUCACGAAAGAAAUUAUCUGAAAGAAACCCCAACUGAUUGUUUUACCAGGGGAUAAUCAAUUCGGGGCAGGGUAUGGUAACACAGAUAUGAUGGAUUGAACCGCA
ensembl:lncRNA